CCUACGGGUGGCAGCAGUGAGGAAUAUUGGUCAAUGGACGAGAGUCUGAACCAGCCAAGUAGCGUGAAGGAUGACUGCCCUAUGGGUUGUAAACUUCUUUUAUAAAGGAAUAAAACGAGGCACGUGUGCCUUUUUGCAUGUACUUUAUGAAUAAGGAUCGGCUAACUCCGUGCCAGCAGCCGCGGUAAUACGGAGGAUCCGAGCGUUAUCCGGAUUUAUUGGGUUUAAAGGGAGCGUAGGUGGAUUGUUAAGUCAGUUGUGAAAGUUUGCGGCUCAACCGUAAAAUUGCAGUUGAAACUGGCAGUCGUGAGUACAGUAGAGGUGGGCGGAAUUCGUGGUGUAGCGGUGAAAUGCUUAGAUAUCACGAAGAACUCCGAUUGCGAAGGCAGUUCACUGGACUGCAACUGACACUGAGGCUCGAAAGUGUGGGUAUCGAACAGGAUUAGAUACCCGGGUAGUC
rnacentral:rRNA from 1 species